AAUCAACGCUGGCGGCGUGCCUCAGACAUGCAAGUCGAACGAUUAAGACUCUCUUCGGAGAGUGUAUAAAGUGGCGCACGGGUGAGUAACACGUAGGUAAUGUACCGAAGGGUGGGGAAUAACUUAGGGAAACUUAAGCUAAUACCGCAUAAUGCAGCGGCUCGACAUCGAGACAGUUGUUAAAGGAGCAAUCCGCCUUUUGAGCAGCCUGCGGCAGAUUAGCUAGUUGGUAAGGUAAUGGCUUACCAAGGCUACGAUCUGUAACCGACCUGAGAGGGUGGUCGGUCACACUGACACUGAAUAACGGGUCAGACUCCUACGGGAGGCAGCAGUCGGGAAUUUUGGGCAAUGGGCGAAAGCCUGACCCAGCAACGCCGCGUGAAGGAUGAAGUAUUUCGGUAUGUAAACUUCGUAAGAAUAGGAAGAAUAAAUGACGGUACUAUUUGUAAGGUCCGGCUAACUACGUGCCAGCAGCCGCGGUAAU
rnacentral:rRNA from 1 species